GGCCUCGUAGUUCAACGGAUAGAAUGGGAGUUUCCUAAACUUUUGAUACAGGUUCGAUUCCUGUCGAGGCUACAA
rnacentral:tRNA from 3 species